UACAGAGGGGGCAAGCGUUGUUCGGAAUUACUGGGUGUAAAGGGUUCGUAGGCGGUGUAGCAAGUCGGGAGUGAAAUCUCUGGGCUUAACCCAGAGGCUGCUUCCGAAACUGCUGUGCUUGAGUGUGGGAGAGGCGCGUGGAAUUGCAGGUGUAGCGGUGAAAUGCGUAGAUAUCUGCAGGAACACCCGUGGCGAAAGCGGCGCGCUGGACCACUACUGACGCUGAGGAACGAAAGCUAGGGGAGCGAAUGGG
rnacentral:rRNA from 1 species